CAGUCGCCGCGGUAAUACCAGCACCUCGAGUGGUCAGGAGGUUUAUUGGGCCUAAAGCAUCCGUAGCCGGUUGCAUAAGUUUUCGGUUAAAUCUAUGCGCUUAACGUAUAGGCCGCCGAAAAUACUGUGCAGCUAGGGAGUGGGAGAGGUACACGGUACUCGAUAGGAAGGGGUAAAAUCCUUUGAUCUAUUGAUGACCACCUGUGGCGAAGGCGGUGUACCAGAACACGUUCGACGGUGAGGGAUGAAAGCUGGGGGAGCAAACCGGAUUAGAUACCCCUGUAGUCCCUGUCUCUUAUAU
rnacentral:rRNA from 1 species